GGUUAAGCGACUAAGCGUACACGGUGGAUGCCCUGGCAGUCAGAGGCGAUGAAGGACGUGCUAAUCUGCGAUAAGCGCCGGUAAGGUGAUAUGAACCGUUAUAACCGGCGAUUUCCGAAUGGGGAAACCCAGUGUGACUCGUCACACUAUCAUUAACUGAAUCCAUAGGUUAAUGAGGCGAACCGGGGGAACUGAAACAUCUAAGUACCCCGAGGAAAAGAAAUCAACCGAGAUUCCCCCAGUAGCGGCGAGCGAACGGGGAGGAGCCCAGAGCCUGAAUCAGCAUGUGUGUUAGUGGAAGCGUCUGGAAAGGCGCGCGAUACAGGGUGACAGCCCCGUACACAAAAGCGCAUGUGCUGUGAGCUCGAUGAGUAGGGCGGGACACGUGGUAUCCUGUCUGAAUAUGGGGGGACCAUCCUCCAAGGCUAAAUACUCCUGACUGACCGAUAGUGAACCAGUACCGUGAGGGAAAGGCGAAAAGAACCCCGGCGAGGGGAGUGAAAAAGAACCUGAAACCGUGUACGUACAAGCAGUGGGAGCAC
rnacentral:rRNA from 2 species